CGCGUCGAGCGCCGCGGCGCAGCACGGGCACGUCCUCGCGACGCCGCGACCGUUCUCCACUCCGUUCGCACUGGUCCCCGUGCGACCGCGUCGGCGCGGUGAACGCCGAUCCUUAAGGACUUUCCUCGCCCGCGGCGGCGGCGGCGGCGGCGGCGCGUCUCCACACACGACGUCGUCGUCGUCGUCGUCCGAGAGGACGACGACGUCGUCGAGCAACCCCCACCGCUGCGCGAAAUCCUCCCCGCGCGCGCGUCGCUCCGCGGCGGCGGCGGCGGCGGCGGCGGCGGCGGCCGGUUUUCGUAUCUCCUCCGUCGUCUCCCCGCCUCCGAGCCUUCGC
rnacentral:lncRNA from 1 species